rnacentral:rRNA from 1 species
GGACUACUGGGGUUUCUAAUCCUGUUUGAUCCCCACGCUUUCGUGCCUCAGCGUCAAUCACACUUUAGUAAGCUGCCUUCGCAAUCGGUGUUCUGUGACAUAUCUAUGCAUUUCACCGCUACUUGUCACAUUCCGCCUACUUCAAGUGUAUUCAAGCCCUGCAGUAUCAAAGGCACUGCGACAGUUGAGCUGCCGUCUUUCACCCCUGACUUACAAGGCCGCCUACGCACCCUUUAAACCCAAUAAAUCCGGAUAACGCUCGGAUCCUCCGUAUUACCGCGGCUGCUGGCAC